rnacentral:snRNA from 1 species
CGUUUCAAGUUACAAAUUCGCAA